GUUCUCGCUUCGGCAGUACAUACACUAAAAAUUGGAAUGAUACAGAGAAGAUUAGCAUGGCCCCUGUGCAAAGAUGCCAUGCAAAUUCAUGAAGCAUUCCAUAUUUUU